rnacentral:rRNA from 1 species
GACGAACGCUGGCGGCGUGCUUAACACAUGCAAGUCGAACGGAAAGGCCCUGCUUUUGUGGGGUGCUCGAGUGGCGAACGGGUGUGUAACACGUGAGUAACCUGCCCUUGACUUUGGGAUAACUUCAGGAAACUGGGACUAAUACCGGAUAGGAGCUCCUGCUGCAUGGUGGGGGUUGGAAAGUUUCGGCGGUUGGGGACGUACUCGCGGCUUAUCAGCUUGUUGGUGGGGUAGUGGCUUACCAAGGCUUUGACGGGUAGCCGGCCUGGGAGGGUGACCGGCCACAUGGGUACUGAGAUACGGACCAGAGUCCUACGGGAGGCAGCAGUGGGGAAUAUUGCACAAUGGUCGGAAGCCUGAUGAAGCAACGCCGGGAGCGUGAUGACGGCCUUCGGGUUGUAAACCGCUUUCGCCUGUGACGAAGCGUGAGUGACGGUAAUGGGUAAAGAAGCACCGGCUAACUACGUG